UACGUAGGGUGCAAGCGUUGUCCGGAAUUAUUGGGCGUAAAGAGCUCGUAGGCGGUUCGUCGCGUCGGCUGUGAAAACCUGAGGCUCAACCUCAGGCCUGCAGUCGAUACGGGCGGACUUGAGUACUGCAGGGGAGACUGGAAUUCCUGGUGUAGCGGUGAAAUGCGCAGAUAAUCAGGAGGAACACCGGUGGCGAAGGCGG
rnacentral:rRNA from 1 species